CACGUAGUUAGCCGUGGCUUCCUCCUUGGGUACCGUCAUUAUCGUCCCCAAAGACGAGAGCUUUACAACCCGAAGGCCUUCAUCACUCACGCGGCGUUGCUGCAUCAGGGUUUCCCCCAUUGUGCAAUAUUCCCCACUGCUGCCUCCCGUAGGAGUCUGGGCCGUGUCUCAGUCCCAAUGUGGCCGAUCACCCUCUCAGGUCGGCUACGCAUCGUCGCCUUGGUGAGCCGUUACCUCACCAACUAGCUAAUGCGCCGCGGGUCCAUCUUAUAGCGGAUUGCUCCUUUGGUUAUCGAUCCAUGCGAAUCAACAACUUUAUGCGGUAUUAAUCUUCCUUUCGGAAGGUCUACUCCCCCUCUAUAAGGCAGGUUACCCACGUGUUACUCACCCGUCCGCCGCUAAUCCGUUCCCGAAGGAACUUCAUCGCUCGACUUGCAUGUGUUAGGCACGCCGCCAGCGUCGUCCGUGAGCCAGGACUCGAAACUAC
rnacentral:rRNA from 1 species